AUUGAACGCUGGCGGCAGGCCUAACACAUGCAAGUCGAACGAGUGGCGGACGGGUGAGUAAUGUCUGGGAAACUGCCUGAUGGAGGGGGAUAACUACUGGAAAGGGUAGCUAAUACCGCAAAGCAGCAGAAGUGCCCAGAUGGGAUUAGAUUGUGGGUGGGGUAAGGGCUCACCGAGGCGACGCUCCCUAGCUGGUCUGAGAGGAUGACCAGCCACACUGGAACUGAGACACGGUCCAGACUCCUACGGGAGGCAGCAGUGGGGAAUAUUGCACAAUGGGCGCAAGCCUGAUACAGCCAUGCCGCGUGUAUGAAGAAGGCCUUCGGGUUGUAAAGUACUUUCAGCGGGGAGGCGUUACCCGCAGAAGAAGCACCGGCUAACUCCGUGCCAGCAGCCGCGGUAAUAC
rnacentral:rRNA from 1 species